rnacentral:rRNA from 1 species
AUUGAACGCUGGCGGCAGGCCUAACACAUGCAAGUCGAGCGGGGUUUUCGGACCUAGCGGCGGACGGGUGAGUAAUGCGUAGGAAGCUACCCGAUAGAGGGGGAUACCAGUUGGAAACGACUGUUAAUACCGCAUAAUGUCUACGGACCAAAGUGUGGGACCUUCGGGCCACAUGCUAUCGGAUGCGCCUACGUGGGAUUAGCUAGUUGGUGGGGUAAUGGCUCACCAAGGCGACGAUCCCUAGCUGGUCUGAGAGGAUGAUCAGCCACACUGGAACUGAGACACGGUCCAGACGCCUACGGGAGGCAGCAGUGGGGAAUAUUGGACAAUGGGCGCAAGCCUGAUCCAGCCAUGCCGCGUGUGUGAAGAAGGCCUUCGGGUUGUAAAGCACUUCCAGUAGGGAGGAAGGGUGUUGUGUUAAUAGCACAGCAUUUUGACGUUACCUACAGAAGAAGCACCGGCUAACUCUGUGCCAGCCGCCGCGGUAACAC